CCCCUGGUAGUUUAAUGGUAAAACGGCAUCCUUAUAAGGUGUAACGAUAGAUAAUCGGUUGAUGCGGGUUCGACUCCCGCCCGGGGGACCA
rnacentral:tRNA from 1 species